CCACUGCUGAGGAGUCCCAUACCAGGACGAAACGGCCGUCUAGUGC
rnacentral:hammerhead_ribozyme from 1 species